GAGGAAGUGAGAGCGAGAGUGAGAUUGACGGGCUUGACUAAAAAAAAAAGUCGCUAAAAAUAAGUCCGUGAAAUAUUGAUAUAAACGAGUGUAUAGCUGGUAUCUAACAUUACAUCCUCGACAAUAUUUACCAAGAUACUUUUUCAACAUAUUUUCUGUGAGCAGCUAGAGACAUUUCAAUUGGAAACGUCUCCCACUGUGGUUCACAUUGUUGUUGAACUUCACGUUAGCUAGUAUUAGCUUGUUAGCCUACCGGUUUUUUUUGUUAGCAUUCAUUAACAAAGUGAAUGGACUCUUAGCUACUGUAUAGCUAGCUCGGGCUACAUUGCGGAAACUGUGGGAAUGUAUUAAGACUGUGUUAGAACUAAUAAGCCAGCACUCAGCUCUUGGAGCUUCACCGGACACAGGAGGACACUUCAGAGGCUGAAGUGCGGAUACUGUAUAUGCCUACCUGCCGUUCAAGUUGACCUGAGGAAGCUGCCUGCUGAUUGGCUACUGAGUUUUUGAGUGACAGCUCAAUGGACUGGAAAUAGUCACGAGCUUGGAGUUGCUGUCCGUCUGGAACUCGAUCCCCAAGUUUUCCCCGUCGACAUCUGACAAAAUAAUUGUGAUGCUGCCUCAGGACUGGCCACCUGGAAGACACCUGCCUAUAAAGAGCCCAGCUGCAGAUCAACCCCUCCUUUCCCCCCGCUCAUCCCGUUUCAAAGAAGCCUGUGCUUGUUGGUAUGUGUUUGCAGAGUGUAAUCCCAGAAAGAUUUGUACCAUGAUUGUCUAGACUAGCGUUGGUGAAUGUUUAUUUUAAGCAUCUGGGAACCAACUGAGCCAAUUGUGUAUUCAGUGAGCUCUCAGUUUUCUGAAAGAUUCGGAUAAAAUGGUUCCAGAAGUGACAGAGAUUCAUAGCAUGAAUCAAACACAGAUUAUUAUUAUUUCUUGUGUUAUGUGUUUAUGGAGAUGUUGGAAAAACCCUGAUGAAUUUUUUUUUAGCAGGUAAUUUUGUCACUCAUGCCGAUAUCACACUAUGAAUGUGGAAAAAAGAAAGGUAAAAGAAAAUGUAUUUACCAUGUUGUAACAUUUAAAGUGUGCCUGAAUACACUUUAUAUUGAAAAUACCUGA